GACGAACGCUGGCGGCGCGCCUAACACAUGCAAGUCGAACGAGCGAGAGAGAGCUUGCUUUCUCGAGCGAGUGGCGAACGGGUGAGUAACGCGUGAGGAACCUGCCUCAAAGAGGGGGACAACAGUUGGAAACGACUGCUAAUACCGCAUAAGCCCACGGCUCGGCAUCGAGCAGGGGGAAAAGGAGCAAUCCGCUUUGAGAUGGCCUCGCGUCCGAUUAGCUAGUUGGUGAGGUAACGGCCCACCAAGGCGACGAUCGGUAGCCGGACUGAGAGGUUGAAACGCCACAAUGGGACUUAGACACGGCCCCGAAUCCCACGGGAGGGAGGAGGGGGGGAUAAUGGAAAAUGGGGGAAACCCUGAUGGCGCGGCGGCGCGUGGAGGAAGGAGGGUUUCGGAUUGGAAACUCCCUGUGUUUGGGAAGAUAAUGACGGUACCCAACAAAGAAGGUACGGCUAACUACGUG
rnacentral:rRNA from 1 species